rnacentral:tRNA from 1 species
GCCGAAGUGGCGGAACUGGUAGACGCGCUGGGUUCAGGGUCCAGUGUCCAUCCGGAUGUAGGGGUUCGAAUCCCCUCUUCGGCA